GGUUUCUCACUCUCUCUAAGCUCUGCUUUUGGCCAUGUUGACCUCACGCUCAGACAGGCCUUCUCUUCCUGGUAGCAAGAUGGCUGUCGUAGUCCAGUGGCAGGCAGACGGUCUCCAGGACUGCAUUCUUAACCACGACACCAGACUUCCUCCUGUGUAAAGGAGCUUAUACUUUAUCCUGAGGAGACAAGUUCUUGUAUGGAGAUGGGGACUCCGAGGCUCCGAGAUGCGAAAGAGCCUGGUUACAAGGCCUCGUGUGGCUCAUUAUUAUGUGACAUUACCUCCCCGGGGAUGCGGCUGAAGAUGGAGUUAAGAAAUGAUAAAAGAGAAGCUCUGCGGCUUUGUUCUAUUAGCAAGACCGGAUGGAGUGUUUGUGAAACAGCAGUGAAAUCUCUUGGAACAAAAUGAGAUCACUCUUGCAAUGGUUCUGCUCCAAAGCAUAUUUAUAAGCAACACCUGCCGCCUCACGAGACUUGCCACGUCACGUCAGUUUGGCCUUCAGUGUUCUCAAUAACUCUUAAUGUGGCAGGCGAUUCUGGGUCUGAUUUUGCACCCGGGAGAGCGAAGUAUCUGAGAUGACACCACAGGCCAAUUAUUGAGCCAGGCCCCAGACCAAGCUUCCUGGCCCUGACUCCGGUUCUUUUUCCAGUUCCUCUGCAGUUAAACAGGAGGUCAGACUGGUGCGGCUAAAAACGGCUUGAGAAUUCAGCUCUGGCCAACACGUGUUAUCGGGAGUCUUUCUCAAAUGUGAUCUCAUUUAUAUGCGGGUGGGGCCAUGGAGACAUUGAAGGAUUGAGACUGUGAUCUUUGGCACCCAUCCUUCCCUCCAGUUACAUGACGAAGACUUUCCCCAUUCACGGAACCCAGCCAAGGAAAGAUGGGGUUGGAUGCAGAGCACCGCGGGUAAAUCGGGGGUCCCUGAUGCUGCAAGCUUCCGACAACCACCACGAAAAAUGCACUAGGUUCUGGAAUCCUUGGAUACUGCUUAAGAGCUCAUCUGGCUCUUCAGAAUCAGACACAAAAAUCAAUGACACGUGUCCUUGAAGAAAUGAAAGCCCACAGGCUUUUAGCUUUGCCGAGUUAAGAUUUUCCUCAAGUGUUCCUCAGCCUGCAGCUGGUAUUUAGCCUUCUUAAGUGAGCCCUUCAGCCCCAGUGCAAUAUCAACGGACAGAACUGAGUGGCCACCGGAGAGUCCCCUCCUCUCCGUCCCUCUGCCUUCUCUCAACUCUGGGGCCGGAAGCCAAUGGCCUCAAAUAAAUCCUCUCAGUUUACAAGACCUGGUGAGUGUAAACAUCACUUACCGGAGCCAUUCGCCUGUUAAUGCCUUUUGCGUGGGUCCAUAUCUGAGUUGGCGAUCUCUUGCAAACUCCAAAGAGUCAUGAAGAAAGGAAAACAUUUCCUAAGGGUAAGUGAUAUAAUGCUACUGACUGAGUCGUCUCCCUUUGGAAUAUGUUGAAGCCCCCGUAUCCAGGUCUGUGGAGACGGGGCAUCUGGGGACGUAAUUAGGUUUAGGUGACAUCAUGAGGAGAGAACCCUCAUGGUGGGAUUAGUGCCCUUCGAAAAAGAGACACCAAAGAGCGUGAUUCCUCCCUCUUUCUCUCUCUCCACCUGCCUGCACGGAGACACGGCAAGAAGGCAACUGUGUGCAACACAAAGAUCGAGCCCUUGCCAGAUGCUGAGCCUGCUGGACGUCCAGUCUCCAGCACUGUGAGAAAUAUAUUCCCGGUGUUGGGGCCACCCAGGCUUAAGUCUUGUGUGGUGUCCGCACUGAAGAAGAUAGGUCAUAUAGGGGAAAGGGAUGAAAUGUAGCACCAGAAAACCUGGCUCAUCUCUUGUUCUUACUUAACCUCUUUGUGCCUCAGUUUCUUUAUCUGCAGAAUGGGGGAAUAGAAGUCCCCUCAUGGCCAACAUCACGAGGUCGUUGUGAGAAUCCAGCCAGAGGAGGUUUGGGAAGGGUUUUGUAAACUGCCAACAGAACGGCUUUUUUGCUCUUCUGUUGGAGAUCUUUAAUAAUGUGUUGCUGGGAAUCUGCCACUACAGUUGAAAUCCCAAAAUUGUUUAGGCAAAAGAAGUAAAAAUAAAAAUGGGAAAAGAGGUAGGUUAAGAGCUCUACAUUUUUUUUUCUUUUAAAUG